ACAAUGGGCGCAAGCCUGAUGCAGCCAUGCCGCGUGUAUGAAGAAGGCCUUCGGGUUGUAAAGUACUUUCAGCGGGGAGGAAGGCGGUGGAGUUAAUAGCUUCAUCGAUUGACGUUACCCGCAGAAGAAGCACCGGCUAACUCC
rnacentral:rRNA from 1 species